AGCUUCUCCAGGAGCUGAGGAUCUGCCAGGCCCUGAUCCCUCUCAGCUUCUCCAGGAGCCAAGUCCUGAGGAAAAGCUGGAUUUCCUCUGCAGAGCCCCAGAGCUCCUCAAAGUGCCCAAAAGAAAAAUGUCAAGCUCAACAUUUGAAGUCCAGGAUAAGGAGAGGCAGAAAUGUGAAUUAAAGGCACAGCUUGUUUUGUGGGGAGCAUGAGGGGAACCCAAAAAACCAGGGACUGUAAUCAAGCAGAUAUUUGUUUAUUCUCUGAGGGUUUGGGGUUUGUUUUUUUUUACUCGGAGUAAAACCAGCUCUCAGCAGCUUAGAGAAAUUCUCUGUAGAUUGGGACGUGAAGAGUUCCUCUGAUCAAUGAAUUGAUUUGGAGCACAGGAGGAGAGCACAAAAACCUGGUCUUUCUGCAGAUCUGAGUGUCCUUCAGGGCCACCUGUGAGACCCUUCCUGUCCAUUACUUCACACAUUGCCAUCAAAUUUGCUGUGCAGAGCAAACAAAUAAGUUCAAACUCCUGAAGGUUGUGCCAUCCCUUGGUUACCCCUGGGCCUGUCUAUUUUCUGCUCCAGAGGAGAUGACACAGCCCAUAAAUCUCUGCCCUAGUCCCUGCUUUGGUAAAUAAAAUCUGCUCAGAUUUAUGUUUCUUCCUUCCUGAGGAAAAGCAAAGCAGUGAUACAUGUGGCAAAUGGAACAGAAAAUUGCUUUUCACCCAUCAAGUUCCCAAUGUAACCGACUGGAGUUUGGGCUCUCCCACAACAAUCACUGGUCUCAAUAAAAUAAACCAAAUUCUGUGGUGCAA